AUACAUGCAAGUCGAGCGAACAGACAAGGAGCUUGCUCCUUUGACGUUAGCGGCGGACGGGUGAGUAACACGUGGGUAACCUACCUAUAAGACUGGGAUAACUUCGGGAAACCGGAGCUAAUACCGGAUAAUAUUUCGAACCGCAUGGUUCGAUAGUGAAAGAUGGUUUUGCUAUCACUUAUAGAUGGACCCGCGCCGUAUUAGCUAGUUGGUAAGGUAACGGCUUACCAAGGCGACGAUACGUAGCCGACCUGAGAGGGUGAUCGGCCACACUGGAACUGAGACACGGUCCAGACUCCUACGGGAGGCAGCAGUAGGGAAUCUUCCGCAAUGGGCGAAAGCCUGACGGAGCAACGCCGCGUGAGUGAUGAAGGUCUUCGGAUCGUAAAACUCUGUUAUUAGGGAAGAACAUACGUGUAAGUAACUAUGCACGUCUUGACGGUACCUAAUCAGAAAGCCACGGCUAACUACGUGCCAGCAGCCGCGGUAAUACGUAGGUGGCAAGCGUUAUCCGGGAAUUAUUGGGCGUAAAGCGCGCGUAGGCGGUUUUUUAAGUCUGAUGUGAAAGCCCACGGCUCAACCGUGGAGGGUCAUUGGAAACUGGAAAACUUGAGUGCAGAAGAGGAAAGUGGAAUUCCAUGUGUAGCGGUGAAAUGCGCAGAGAUAUGGAGGAACACCAGUGGCGAAGGCGACUUUCUGGUCUGUAACUGACGCUGAUGUGCGAAAGCGUGGGGAUCAAACAGGAUUAGAUACCCUGGUAGUCCACGCCGUAAACGAUGAGUGCUAAGUGUUAGGGGGUUUCCGCCCCUUAGUGCUGCAGCUAACGCAUUAAGCACUCCGCCUGGGGAGUACGACCGCAAGGUUGAAACUCAAAGGAAUUGACGGGGACCCGCACAAGCGGUGGAGCAUGUGGUUUAAUUCGAAGCAACGCGAAGAACCUUACCAAAUCUUGACAUCCUUUGACAACUCUAGAGAUAGAGCCUUCCCCUUCGGGGGACAAAGUGACAGGUGGUGCAUGGUUGUCGUCAGCUCGUGUCGUGAGAUGUUGGGUUAAGUCCCGCAACGAGCGCAACCCUUAAGCUUAGUUGCCAUCAUUAAGUUGGGCACUCUAAGUUGACUGCCGGUGACAAACCGGAGGAAGGUGGGGAUGACGUCAAAUCAUCAUGCCCCUUAUGAUUUGGGCUACACACGUGCUACAAUGGACAAUACAAAGGGCAGCGAAACCGCGAGGUCAAGCAAAUCCCAUAAAGUUGUUCUCAGUUCGGAUUGUAGUCUGCAACUCGACUACAUGAAGCUGGAAUCGCUAGUAAUCGUAGAUCAGCAUGCUACGGUGAAUACGUUCCCGGGUCUUGUACACACCGCCCGUCACACCACGAGAGUUUGUAACACCCGAAGCCGGUGGAGUAACCAUUUGGAGCUAGCCGUCGAAG
rnacentral:rRNA from 1 species